rnacentral:lncRNA from 1 species
CCGAUACCCCCACCACACUUACACGAAAACGACUAUAUAUGCCACAGGCCCUCACACACGCCAAAGUAAUGGGCCGGAGGCUCCUAUGGGGCAACCAUAGCAUUAUUGACCCAUGCCCCAUGGUCAUGGUUGGAGUCUGUUCUCUUUGAUGCUGAGCAGUUGGGUUCUCUGCGGAGGAACUUCGUUGUGGGGACCAAGGGGUUUUCUUAAUAAGAGUUGCUUUGAUGAAAAGAGUGUAGCCAUGAUGGCAAGUCAAGGUGGGACCCUGUGACGGCAAGCCUUGUGUAUGUUGGUGUGAUGACGAGAGAAAGAAAAUGACCUUGAACAAUAGCUGUCCGUAGAACACCCUGCAAUGACUCCAACCAGUGGACCAGCCUAUCCAAUAGACCUUAGAAGAACCCAAGCGGUUCCAUUAUUAUGCUUACCUAUGUGGUUAGCUCUAUGACUUUCGUUCCUGCACUUUGCUAAAUGCAAUAUUUCUACCAGCCCUUUCCUGUACAUAAUCAAGUGUCGAACUGUGUAAUCGACUACAUAAAUUCACUGGACAGCAACACAAUUAUCUGUAUGGUCUUUAUGUAGAGACAUCAUGACCUGUUUGGCUGCUCUUUAGCUCCGGCUUAUGGGCUUCGGACAGAAGCUAGCCAGGCUAAACAAGUUGGAUCUUCUUGGCUCAUCUUUUAAAGCCUAAGCUAGAGUUGUAAUAAAGGCUUAGCCUUUAAAGCCUAAGCUAGAGUUGUACCCUUUAAAGCCUAAGCUAGAGUUGUAAUGAAGGCUUUAAAUAAGAUGGAGACAGCUGUGAUAUGCAUAGGAAACUGAAGGCUGAAUUGUUUGGCUCCUCUACAAUUCAUAACUGCAAAAAAUCGAGAAGGGCUCUAGCUUAGUGAAAAUGUGUUCAUUCUUCUUCGAGAAGCUCAAGAGGAUGCCACCUAAACAGGCCUAGUAGUUAAUACUGUACAAAUUUAGAAUUAUAGCUUAAGCAUUUAAUUAUGU